GCAGAUCCUGUCCGUCAAGGAAUUUCGGCUCCUGGGGUCCAGGAAAAGAGCCUUCUCUGCCGUGGCCUCUGCCCUUUGGAACAUCUUGCCCCCUGAGAUGCAUGGAGGAAUAAAUACCCUGUAGAGAAAAAAUACAUUUAUUUUUCUUCUUUUCAAAAAAAUUAUUCAAGAGAUAAAUGCUGGAUGUUUAAACCACUCUUAAAUAAACUUACAAUUGUGGAAUUUACAACGCUCAUUUAUGCAGACUAUAAACAGUGAUCUUGAAAUUGCAAGAAGAAUCAUUGUCUUGAAAUGAUGGAAAUUGAAUGGCUUAUUUUUAUUAAAAGAAGAUAUAAGACUGAUAUGCCAAUUUAAAUUAGAGCUUCUUUCAAAGUAGUUCAGUUCCCUAUGUUUCUUUAUUCAUCACAUGAGAAUCCAGUAAAGCUUUUAUGAAGUUUUUUUUCCUGGCACUGAAUAAAAAGAAAGUCAUUCAAAAAUUGAAAUACAUAUUGUUGAAUGGCUUGAAGCAACUGGAAUCGAGAAACAAGCAGAAUCCGCUGUUGAACAUAGAACAAACUUUUAAGGUGAUUCAUAAUUAACUAGACUUGAGGCUUUGAAGAAGGUGAAUUACAAGAAGCUUUUGCUGAGAAGAUAUGUUUUAAAAAGGUUCUUCAUACUGAGGAGAUGUUGGUGAGUGGGCAUUCAUGCUAACUGAAGAAAUAAAUAAAUCUUCCUUCAGAAGAUUUGCUGGCUUGCUGGUUUUAUAUAAUCCAAAUUUGCUGGACACUCAGCUGGAUAAUAUCUGCUUAAAACAUCUCAAGGCAUAUUUAAAUAGCAUUUCUUGUGGAAUUUCAAAGCUCUUCAGUCUCAUUCAGUUUUGCCACGGCAACUUUUAACAUCUGUGUUCUUGGCUCUUCAUUCCUUAUUCAGUUUCCAUCUUACAAUUUUGUAAGUUUGUUUCACCUGAAGGAGUCAUCUACCAUCUUCAGUUCAUGGCAAAUACACCCAAUCAAUACCACAUUUUGGGUGCAAAGCAUGGUGCAUUGUCAUUAAUUUUGUUGUCUUCUGAUCCAAGUUAACAAGUUCCACCUGGGUCCAGUCAACUGUUCCUGCUGCAUAUUGAAUAACAGAAACUGCUCAGGUUCAUGACAUUAGCAAUUUGGGAGGCAGAAGAAACACCAAGUACUGUGAGCAAUUUACUUCUGAUUACUAGACCCACUGUGAUAAACACCAGAAUCAAGGUAAUUUAUGUUUUCCCCUCCAUCUUGUGGAACUGAAUCACAAUCUU